UCACUCUCUCCCUACUGAACAACAACAUUAAACUCUUUCUCACUCUAUUUUUCUCUUUUUGCAAACAAAAAUAAACACUUCUCUCCUUUCUCCAAACAUAACUCCACCGCCUCCUUUCCUUGCCGUUUCCGACCACCAACCCAAACAGGAAAUUAAUAUAACCACUGUUAUCCUCUCUUUUGAAAUUUAACAUCACCACCUUCUCUCUUAUUUUCCGGCCACCAUGGACUCCCUAUGAGAAAAAUAAACUGAUAAAUCUCUUACUCUUGUUAAUAUUUAUAAAACUCACAAAUAAAAUUCAUGAUCGGACCACCCCUACUAGAAACCACCGUGCCGGAAGUACUAUGACAAUUGUUUGGACUCCUCUACAGUUUUCUUCUCCAUCUGCUUGGGUUGAAAGUAUGAGCCAGACAUGAGACUUUGUCGAGAGACAGGUUGUGCUCGCAUAACGUAAGUUGAACGUGUGGAAAGCUUGCUAAGGUUAAGGCGCUCUCUAACUAUCUCAUGUAGACCGGAAAUGCCAAAUACUUGAAUGCAUGUGUAAUUGCUUUUGAUAUGAAAUUGUGAGUUGUUUGCUUGAUUGUG